AACACUGUUAACCUGCGGUACCUGCGGAAGGAUCAUUACCGAAGUUACUCUUCAUACCCUUUUGUGAACCCUACCAACCUUGCCGCGCGUUGCCUCGGCGGGGAGGUCCGGGAGGGGUUGCCGGGGCCCCGCGCCCCGGUCCCCCCCUCGGGCCCCCGCCGGCCGCGCCGAACUCUUCAUUUGCAAAGCGGACUGCAUGUUCUGAUUAUAUCUUGAAAACAAGUCAAAACUUUCAACAAC
rnacentral:misc_RNA from 1 species